rnacentral:lncRNA from 1 species
CUCGUGGUAGCGUUUUUAAAGAAUAAAGGUUUUCGUGUAGGAAACAGUUUUCAAAAGAAUUUUCUGUAGAUUUAUGUUUAAAUAUUGAAUGUAUAACUGUGAUGUGAAUGAUGAAUGAAUGAUUGCAUAGUCGUUUCUAUAUUCAUUUGGUUGUGGUUGUACCUGAGAUACUUCUUGUACUUGUGCGACGCCGUGCAAAUACAGGGGAGACUCUGUCCUUGUGAACAGUGGAUUUUCUGUAUUUGUGGCGGAUCUGGCAUUCCCUGGGGUUAGAUUUU